rnacentral:rRNA from 1 species
CCUACGGGUGGCAGCAGUGAGGAAUAUUGGUCAAUGGCCGUAAGGCUGAACCAGCCAAGCCGCGUGAAGGAAGACGGCCCUAUGGGUUGUAAACCUCUUUUAUAGGGGAAUAAAACUCUCCACGUGUCGCUAUUUGCAUGUAUCCGAUGAAUAAGCAUCGGCUAACUCCGUGCCAGCAGCCGCGGUAAUACGGAGGAUGCGAGCGUUAUCCGGAUUUAUUGGGUUUAAAGGGUGCGGAGGUUGUUUUUUAAGUCAGCGGUGAAAGUUUGUGGCUCAACCCCAAAAGUGCCGUUGAAACUGGAAGACUUGAGUGUGCUUGAGGUAGGCGGAAUGCGUGGUGUAGCGGUGAAAUGCAUAGAUAGCGCGCAGAACUCCGAUUGCGAAGGCAGCUUACUAAGGCAAGACUGACGCUGAAGCACGAAAGCGUGGGGAUCGAACAGGAUUAGAUACCCCAGUAGUC